GCAUCUACCGACUGAAUGGAGAGGUAAAAUCUCCGGACUAUGACGCGUUGGGGUCAAACCUAAUGCAGUCGUGGGAAGUGGAUUAAACCUUUCCAUUUAGAGGAAGAUGAAGUCGUAACAAGGUUUCUGUAGGUGAACCUGCAGAAGGAUCAAGAUCGGAGGAGCGUCGGGUAGGGAAGGGGUGUAGAUCUGGGUGGUCGCGGAAUCAUUAAAAAAAAAAAAAGAAUAUAGUAAGCUACUCAUACAGUCCAUACAUCAGACCACUCUACCCAUCGUC
rnacentral:misc_RNA from 1 species